UACAGUAAUAUGCAAGUGUUAAUAUAUUGACAGGAAAAUCAAUACAAAAUCUUGAGCAAGGAAGAGAGGUCCUAAAAAAAGGAACACCAUGAUGGUCCGUUGCCUAGAGAGUUUGCAUGUUCCUUGCAAUACAAAGAGGGAAAGUUAUGUUUGUCACAACAGAAUUCACAGAAACUUGCGAAGUUGAGGUCGUACCAGCUAAUUGGUUGGUGGAGGGAGGAAGUCAAUGCAACUGGCCACCAUUUAAAUCUGCAGCCAGGACAGUGCAGACACGUAGACCUGCUUUCCCCACCUGGCCAUUGUAUCCUGUUAGGGUCAUUUUCAAAACAGAUAUGUAUGCAGAGGCCAGAGCCAAAUUUAAAAAAUCGGCGGCUACUUCUGACUUGCAGUCAGAUGAGGAGACAAGCCAGAAGAGAAAAAUAAGAUCAACCCAGAAGUAUGCUUCAUCAUCAUUCAUCUGAGGAGGGUCUCCAAAUCAACCAAAUAGACAACUGCUAACUCAACUCGCAUCUCCACCUGUGCCACCUGUACUUCAAACUCCAGCAAUUACAAUUCCAUUAACCCCCUUGCGGAGUCCCUCCCCAACAACACUGCUGACAUCCAACCAGCCAAGAAUGGGAGCUGUAAGAAGAAAUCAUUUUACCAAGCAAGUGACAGAAGAUGGCUUUGGUAUGGCAGCUGUGCUACGCUAAGGAUAGAAAUGGAGGGAGGCAGCGCAGAUCUGAAGCUACGACAGCCAGAAGCCGAGGAGAUGGGUUUCAGUCUUAAUAUAAAGGGGGUGGGGGGGUGCAGACUUUUAUAAAAAUAAAUAAAUAAAUAAAUAAAUCUGAUUUAAAUUUACGUUUUUUUUGGAGGGUCACAAAAUGUUUGACAGCUUAUAUUGCCUUAAAGACUGCAGAUAGUCGUAUUAACUAUUUAACAUAUAGAAAGCCCUUUCUAAAAAAAAAAAAAAAAAAAAAAAAAGGCAAAUGGUGUUGUAUCUCCUUAAACAGUUAAUAAACUUAAUGUUGAACACAUAAGAAACCAAGUAACGCUAUCCAAAUAAAUGUCCUUGUGUUUGACCUCACUAAAUGAUGGUAUAUUCCCUUACUGUGUGCUUUUUGGGCAUAGUUAAUAUUAAAAUAAUUGGUCUGACUAAUUCUGUUUAAACCCUUAGUGUUAUUAAACUUGUUAAACUAUUGUGAAG